rnacentral:lncRNA from 1 species
UUGAAUAUCAGUAGUGAAAGUGGGUCUUCCAUUUUUUCCUGACUUUAAUGGGAAUAUCUCUUAUGUUUUAUCGUUAAGUAUAAAUUUUUGGUAAGUGCCUUUUAUCAAGUUGUUACAUACCUAUUCCCAUUCUGCUAAAAGUGUUUUCUUUUAAAUCAAAGUAGAUAUCGGAAUUUUUUCAGAAAACAUUUUAUCAGUUGAGAUGAUCAUAUAAUUUAAAACCUCUACAACUAUUUAAUACAAUGAUUUAUAGCAACAGGUUUUCUAAUGUUAAAUCAUUUCUGGGAUAGACCCUUUCUUGUUCUAGAUGGAGUGCAGGAUUGAAUUUACUAAUAUUUUAUUUUAGAGCUUUGUAUCCAUGUGAGUUUGGUGAGUUUAGAACUGAAAGGAUGCAGCUACAAGCCAAAGAAUGCCAAAGAUUGCUGGACAGCACCAGAAACUAGGAAGAGACAAGCAAGGAUUUUAACCCGAGUCUCAGGGGAGCAUGGCCCUGCUGACACUAUUUCAGACUUCUAGCCUUCAGAACUGGGAGAGAAUAAAUAAGUUUUAAGCCGCGUAAGUUGUGGGACUUGGGUAUGGCAGCCCUAGGAAAUUAAAGCGGCAAUUUUAAUUUCUAACUUAUCUUCCUAGCGCCAACAGUGCCAUGUCCACGGUCCAGUUGGGGGCCGUGCAGGCGCUCCAUCCCUUCCCUGCUACAGGGAUGAUGGGCGGGCAGCAGCAGAGGCCGUCAGGAGUCACCAGCCGCUUGUGAGCCCCUGCCGUCAGAGGACGUGCAGCCAAAGCCCAACCAGGGGUUGCCAUUACGACAGAGAGACCCGGGGCUGCACAGAUCACCGAAGGCAGCGAGAUGCUCAAUACAACGCGGGGCGGCCGGGAGACGGGGCCUCGAGGCCCCCGAGGACGCCCGUGGGGGACGGAGGGAAGUUUUUGAGGACCCUGAGUCUGCAAGCCGCUCUCCAGACCACGCUGAACGGCUCCCACACCUGUCCCCAGCUCCACGGCCACCUGUGCCCAGCUCCACGGCCACCGCCCCGACGCUCCUCCAAGUGACCCCAAGAGACUGCGGGCGCCCCACCUACUGACCAGUGACCGCGCGACGCUCUCGAGCCCGCGCGCGCCGCCUCCGCACCUCCCGCCGCAGUACGCAGUUGCGAGGGGCGGAACUUCCUCCCCACGUCCCGGAAACCGGAAGAGACUCUUUUUCCGCCGGAAGGAGAGCGGAGCUGCGAGGGUGGUGAGACCCGGGAGGGUCGGCUUUGUCGCGUGGGAUACUGUUUUUACAAGACCCUCCACCCGCAAAAAGAUUACAGCUCACUGAAGGCUCAGAUGAUGGUAUAUGAGCUCUUUGAAAGCAGAGUGCUGUCGUUGCCAUGUUCCAAUCAUUCAGAGGUUACGAAGGCACAGUUCCUGCCUUUGAUUUGCUUAACAGUCGAGUGGAGUAGAGGCAGGUCAUUGGUUGCAGUACAGCCUCUUAAGUGUGCCAAAAGAGAUUUAUCAGCAGGUUGCAGGUGAACAUGGCUUUGAGGUAAAUCCAGCCCCUUGUUGAAAUUUAGUUUCAGCAGAUGGUUCAUGGCAUUUUAAGGAAUUUCAGUAUUUUACAAAAAAAACCAAAGUUUUGUUUUGGUUCUGUUCUAGACUUAUUUUUUCUUCUUCUAGAAGAUGAGAAACAUAUUUAAACAAAGGUUCUUCAUGCUGAAUAAUUGUGAUGCAAGGUCAUCUGCCUUGUUUAAAUUAAGUGGAUUUUAAAUGUCAAAACUAAUUCUAGACCGUUUUUUCUUGGUCAAAUAAACUUUUAUUAAAACUUUAUAUGUGCUGAGUUUUUAUCCAUUUUAUUCAUGUUCAUAUUCAUGUGAAGUGCUUCAUAAAGCCUGUUAGAACCCGGAAUUCAACUUUGCCUUAUCUCUGAUGUCCUACUUCCUGCUUGCUUGUUUCUAUUUCAGAAGCUGAGAACAUUUUUUAAUAUACACAUAUGUAUAUUUUAGUUGCUUGUAACUUGAAUAAUUUCUGUGCUUACUUUGGUUGUACCUUCUUUAUUCCAGGGUAGUGAUCCAGGUGGGCAGGGCAGGCGUGUGUGUGUGUAUGUGUGUGUGUGUGAUGAGCUGUAAGAUUGUGAAGGUGAGUCCUUAAUGCAGGAAUCUGAACUUGUGUUUAUACCAGUAGGCAGAGUUUUGAGAUAGGAGAUGAGGUGUUUCUUGUGUCAGACUUUGAGUGUGAUGGAAAACGUGAAAGUUUUAAAGUGACAGGUUUUUCAGUUAACACAAAACCUUAAGUGAUGAGAUGAGGGGCUUAGCUGUUUGGAGGCGUCCAUGGGGCACGACCCUAAAUUGUCUCUGAGAAUUGCUUCACAAGUGGAGUCAUUUACUCUGCCUCUGGACUCAAGCUUGAAAAGGCUGUGUGCAGAGCUUUAAGUGGCAACUAGAACCUUGAACUGGACAGCCAGGAAUGCAGCUGAUGGCGCUGGGCAUUGAGGUCGCCAAAGGGCAUGAGAGCAGCGAGGCGGCUGCCCCAAAGCUGCUGGCUGGAGGCCCC